GGGCGAUUAGCUCAGUUGGAUAGAGUGGCUGGUUUCGACCCAGAAGGUUCGGGGGUUCGAGUCCCUCAUCGCCCG
rnacentral:tRNA from 1 species